AGCAGAGAGCCCGAUGCGGGGCUCGAUCCCAGAACCCUGGGAUCAUGACCUGAGCCGAAGGCAGGCGCUUAACCAACUGAGCCACCCAGGCGCCCCUCCACUAUCUUCUAAAGUCUAUGCCUCUGGGUGGACACUAUUAGCAUCCGAAUUCCGAAUAUUGAGGCACAGGAGAAGCUAAAUAAGAAGGCACAAAGGUCCCACUUAGCUGGUGGAGCCUAGGUCCAGCCCCAGUGGAUGUCCUUGACACAAUACCCAUAGUGCCUUUCUCAAUGCCUGGCUUACGCAGAAGCUUAAGAAAGAUCUGAUGAGCUGAAUGCUAAAGGGCGAGCACUCCAUAAAAUGUGAUUUCCUUUUUCUCUUCCCCUCUGGCUUCACAUCCAAAACUCUUCCCACCACCCUGUAGUAGUUUAAAUAAGAAUCAAGGACAGACUCUAGAUAAAGACUCCGGGAUGUGGAAUGUUAAUUAAAAUUCAAGAAAGCUGUUAAAAGUGAUAAGAAAAUAAAACUCAGGGAUAGGGACAGGGAUAGCAGGAGGACAGGAGGCUCUGUGGGCCCCACAUGGACCACAACUGACGGCUUCCAUUAGCCAGUGAACAGGGAGCAGAAACCUGGACAGCAUCCUUCUCUGCUCAGAGGCUUGCCACACAUUUACUCCUCCAUCUUUGGCAGAAGUCAAAGAGAAAAAGCAGAGAAUUCAGAGGAGAAUGUCCAAAAAGAAAGGCCUAAGAAACAGGGCUCCUACGGGGUUUUACAGUGCCCAAAUUCUGCACCUUCAGGAAAAGAAGGGGAAGAGUUAGGUGGUCUGAGUCAAUGCUCAGUCAGGUCUCCUGUGGCCACCAGCUGCAGAGAAAGCCACAGAAGACAAGUUAAGGCUUCCCUCCUUUCCAUAAGAAAUCACUUUGAUGCUCUGCUGAAUGUUAUGGGGUUUUGUGUGUGUGUGUGUGUGUGUGUGUGUGUGUGUGUGUGUAAUAAACCUCUGGAGGAAGUGUUUGGUCUCUUUAAAAAUCAGGCCGUCUGUGACUAAAGCUGAUAAACUCUGGGUUACCUGCAGUGGUUACUGUUCUGUUUCUAAUAAGAAACACACGGCUCAAUGAACAGCUCACAAGAUUCUCUGAAAACUAUGCUCCGAGGAAGCGUUUCUGAUCAGGAAGUAAGGUAACAGCUUAGGCAUCACCAGUGACCGUGGGAUAAGACAGCAUCCCAGGAGCAGCCAUUCAGAAUCAGCGAGUGCCACAGAGCCCUAAAUUGACAACAAAAGUUACACCUUGUCUGGGGUGCCAACAUGUCAUAACAUCUGCUACUGACCAAGCACUAUUCUAAGGGGUUUUACAUACUAUCAGUGUUAAUAAUAAUCAUCACUGACACUUAUUCAAUGCUUAUAAUGCACCAGGCACACUUCUGCAUGUACUCAUUUAAUUCUCACAACAACUCUAUG